CUCUCCCCCAAGUCCUCCAUCUCCCCCACGCAGGUCAUCUUCCUCACGCCCACACUCUCCAUCUCCCCUACAUGCAAAGACAACCCCAUCAUUCCCACCGCACUCUUCUAAGCUUCCACCAUCGCCCCCACCUACAAACUCUUUCCAGCAGAAACACGCUGCCCAGGCCAGUUCAGAUUCCACACUAAGGCGCCAUUCCCCACCAUAUCUCCGUUCGCAUACUCCUUCAAGCCUACACCUUCCUUCCUUACCAUCGUCGUCUACAUCAUUGACUUUAUCAGCAUCAGAUUUAUCCUUGUCGGAGACUGAUUCAGAAAUCUCACUGAGGAUAACAUAUAAAACGACUUGGCGAGAGCGUCUACGCAAUGCCAGAUAUCGGCUCUGGCAUUGCUUCCAUAUGGUUUUCAUGUGCUGUUAUUGGAGGAAAAAGUCCUUGCCAAAGAAAUUAAAAUGCAGGAAACGCGGAUGCAAAAACCGUAAAGUUGUUAGAUUUGCUUCAAAGCUGGAGACUGUUUGGGAAAUUCCUGCAGCAAGAAGAUAACAAGGAAAGGGAGAAGUGAGCAUGAACCUGAGAGAGAAACCAAACAAAGGAGAAGAGAGUUGAUGCUUGUGGAUAAUCUGGAGCUGGUAAUCCUGAGAUAAAGGAAUUGGAGAGUCGGAAGACCGACAGAAGCAGAGGAAGAAAGGAGUAGAACAUGCAAGGGUAAUACAGAAACAACAUGCAAUAUGAAUAAAGUGAUAACAGUGUUGCACAGAUGAUGACAUCUUACAGGAAUAUCAGUGAGCUUCUUGGAGUAUGACAGACAUGAGACAGAUGCUGUUCAAGAGAACUUAUGGGAUGGCCUGAUACAUGGCAAAUAAACUUUCCAUUCUUCUGAACUUUACAAAAAUGGAUUUUCACUGACAGAAGUCCUCACCAGUUUCCAAGAGAAACAAGAAACUAUUUGGAAAUUAUUACCACGUUGAAUAAUAAGGUCUUUGAAGGCGCAGAGGAGGCAGUGGUUAUGUCAACAAGGAAUACAAACAUGAAGUCACUGUUUUGUUCAGACAGAAACUAGUGAAACUGGAAUAUCAACAUUCAUACAUGCACACACACACACACACACAUACACACACACACAGACUCUCACACACACACACACACACAAACACAGACUCUCAUACAUACAUACACACACACACACAUAUGCAUAUGAUACACAAAUAUGUACAUGCACAUAUACAUACACGUACACACAUACAGACACAAGCAUAUAUACACACACACACAUAUACAUACAUGCACACAGACACAAAAAUACACACACACAUAUACAUGCAUACACAUACAUAUGCACACACACAUACACAUACAUAUGCACACACAAAUAUAUAUAUAUAUACUCACACACAUAUACAUACAUGCACACAGACACAAAAACACACACACACAUAUACAUACAUACACAUACAUAUGCACACACACACAUACACAUACAUAUGCACACACAAAUAUAUAUAUAUACACACACACACACACACACAUAUAUACACACACACACACACAUAUAUAUAUGUCUACACAUAUAUGUACAUGCACAUACACACAAACAAACACACUACAUGUGUACACAACCAUGCACACAAACACACAUAACCACAGACACACACACACAUUUGACAAGAUUCCACCCUGGUUCCAUGUACCAAAUUCACUCACAAGACCUUAAUUGACUUGGAGCCGCAGUAAAAGACACUUGCCCAAUGUGCCAUCCAGUGGAACUGAACCCGGAAGCCCAUGAUUGAGAAGCAAGCUCUACAUAACAGCCAUACUUACAUGGUACCCCUUAAAUGUUUUUCCAUUAAUCACAGAAACCACACCAAAGGAACCCUGCCAUCUUAAUUCUUGUUAAAACAUUUCAUGAAACAAAUUUAGCUUU